UACUUGCGACUUUGGUUAGUAAGCGUUACGCCUUUACCCCACCAUAGAAUUGGAAAGAGUGCGAGAGGUGAGAGAAUCUGCUGUUGCUCUUCGAUUCAUCCCAAUUCUGCACACUUUUAGAACCGAAGAACCCUAAUUUUCACAACUUACAUCCCGACGAUUCGCUCUCUCGUCUAUUCUUACACCAGGAGUUUCUUGGCUGCCUCUGUGUGGGGCUACUUGCGUAAUGGCUUCUGUGUCGAGUCAGCCACAGUUCCGUUACACCCAACCUCCAUCGAAGGUGCUUCAUUUGAGAAACUUGCCAUGGGAAUGCACUGAGGAGGAGCUGAUUGAAUUGGGGAAGCCUUUUGGUAAGGUUGUCAAUACAAAGUGCAAUGUUGGGGCCAACAAAAAUCAAGCAUUCAUCGAAUUUGUGUUGGUGGAGGCGCAGUUGCCGUGUCAGCUGCUACUGGUGGUGGUGCAGGUGUUGCUGCCGCCGGGGCUCCAAAGUAGGAGAAUAAGGUUGAAGAGAAAGAAGAAUCGGACGACAUUGGCUUGGUUGCAAGAAAUGAGAGGAGGAAGUAUGACUUCCUAGGAAUUGGACAUGAGUGAUAAGGAAGUUACUCGUGUUUAAUGAUCGGGAUGCUCAAUGCAUAUUAUCUGUUCCUCUCAGCAUCAGGUCGACGAUUAUCGACGUGACAUACAUGUUUUCGGUUUUGUUAUUCUAAGACAAUACAUACGAGUCCGUAACUAGCAGACACCAGUAUUGCUUCUCAACAUCAGGUCAUCCCUGGAUAAUGGCAGACGACUUGGCUCCUGAUAAGCUUCUUGAUCACUCAGUCAUAUCACGGUUGACACAGUUCUGUUUAUCUACGGGUUAUUUCUGAUAGGCUUUCAGAUGAAGAAAUUGCAGAGGUCGAGGAGAUUUUUAAGAUAAUAGACAGAUAACAGUAGGUAGAUUGCUCAAAUGUUAGAGCAAUGUGUCAUUGCACAUGGAUGUCCUACGUUCCAAUAUUCUUUCUAUUUUGUUUAUAGCCAUGAAUUUUGGUCCAUCAUGUGAAGAAAUAUGUUGGACACAGAUUUUAUUAUGUCAGUCGGAGCAACUCUAUUAUGGUA